AGAGAUGUGUGAUGACGCAUAUCAAUAAGCGGAGGAAAAGAAACUAACAAGGAUUCCCUUAGUAACGGCGAGUGAAGCGGGAAGAGCUCAAAUUUGAAAUCUUCAAGGUUCUACCUUGACGAAUUGUAGUUUAUAAGAAGUGUUUUCUGUUAGUAGAGUGGCAAAAGUUCUUUGGAAUAGGACAUCAUAGAGGGUGAGAAUCCCGUAUUUGGUCAUUCUUUCUAGCUUUGUGAUACACUUUCAACGAGUCGGAUUGUUUGGGAAUGCAGUCCAAAAUGGGUGGUAAAUUUCAUCUAAAGCUAAAUAUUGGCGAGAGACCGAUAGCGAACAAGUACCGUGAGGGAAAGAUGAAAAGAACUUUGAAAAGAGAGUUAAACAGUACGUGAAAUUGUCAAAAGGGAAGCGUUUGACACCAGUGUUGUUUUUCCGAAAAUCAAUUACGAAUGUUUUAGUUUUUGAGGAAGUUAUGACUUCAUCGGCUUGCUUCCUCUCUUUACUGAAACUUUCUUAAUGCACUUUUCGGUUAACAAGUCAACAUCAAUUUCUUUUGUUGUAAAAGGGUAUGAGGAAGGUGGCUUUCUUUUCGGAGAAAGUGUUUAUAGCCUUGUAGCCUCUGCAAUCGGAGAGAUUGAGGUCUGCAGCGUAGAUCCUUCGGGGUUAGAUACAUUUGUGCUAAGUUAUAGCUUUUCAUAGACAACUUGUUGACUAUGUUUAGUCUUGUAGCUUACUCGCUUAUGCUAUUUUACCUACGCUUAGGAUGUUGAAGUCAUCGUAUCGCGC
rnacentral:rRNA from 1 species